CACGUAGGGCGCGAGCGUUGUCCGGAAUUAUUGGGCGUAAAGAGCUCGUAGGCGGCCUGUUGCGUCCGCUGUGAAAGCCCGGGGCUUAACCCCGGACUUGCAGUGGGUACGGGCAGACUAGAGUGUGGUAGGGGAGACUGGAAUUCCUGGUGUAGCGGUGGAAUGCGCAGAUAUCAGGAGGAACACCGAUGGCGAAGGCAGGUCUCUGGGCCACUACUGACGCUGAGAAGCGAAAGCAUGGGGAGCGAACAGG
rnacentral:rRNA from 1 species